GGGCAGAGCAGGCUCCUCCCUUUCUGUCCUUGGGAGACCUGGAGGCAGGGUGUGUCUGAGGGUCUCCUGAGAGAGGCCCUGGUGAAAACCCAUUCCUCUUCCCACCCAAAGAGGCCUCUUUCUGGAUCAUCGCCCGCACAUCAAGUGGCUGCCCCUUCUGUGAGCCUAACAGUGCAGAACCAGCACCCCAGGGACUCGUGACUGCCCUCUGUCCAGGUGGAGCCACUUAGAGGAGAGCCCUUCAGGCAGCAAGGCCCAAAUGGAGCAGAGUGGAAGAUCUGCCAGAAUGAGUGCAAAGGUCAAAGGCGAAGGAGGAAAGUCCAGUGCCAAUCAAGAGGGAGCUGUUGCAGGGGCUGGGCCUCCUUUCAAACUUCAUCAGAUGGGAGAGAAGCAAAUUGAAACAGUGGUACAGCAAUUAAUAGCCUUAAAUAUUCAGAAGAGUAUCCCCCAGGGAGCAGAGGCCAAACCUGAAGGCAGGGAGGAA